CAGGCCUACACAUGCAAGUGGAGCGAGAAAGUACCUUCGGGUGCGAGUAAAGCGGCGACGGGAGAGUAACACGUGGGUAACCUGCCCUAGAGACCGGGACAACCAUCGAAAGGAUGGCUAAUACCGGAUAUCCUGCGGAAUCGCAUGGUUCCGUAUAAACGGUAGCUUCGGCUUCCGCUCCAGGAUGGGCCCGCGGCCCAUGAGUUGUUGGUAGGGUAACGGCCUACCAAGGCAACGAUGGGUAGCCGGCCUGGAGGGCGAUCGGCCUCACUGGGACUGAACACGGCCCAGACUCCUACGGAGGCAGCAGUGGGGAAUCUUGCGCAAUGGGCGAAAGCCUGACGCAGCAAGCCGCGUGGGGGAAGAAGGCCUUCGGGUCGUACACCUCUGUCAGGAGGG
rnacentral:rRNA from 1 species